rnacentral:rRNA from 1 species
UGCAGUCGAGCGAACGGACGAGAAGCUUGCUUCUCUGAUGUUAGCGGCGGACGGGUGAGUAACACGUGGAUAACCUACCUAUAAGACUGGGAUAACUUCGGGAAACCGGAGCUAAUACCGGAUAAUAUUUUGAACCGCAUGGUUCAAAAGUGAAAGACGGUCUUGCUGUCACUUAUAGAUGGAUCCGCGCUGCAUUAGCUAGUUGGUAAGGUAACGGCUUACCAAGGCAACGAUGCAUAGCCGACCUGAGAGGGUGAUCGGCCACACUGGAACUGAGACACGGUCCAGACUCCUACGGGAGGCAGCAGUAGGGAAUCUUCCGCAAUGGGCGAAAGCCUGACGGAGCAACGCCGCGUGAGUGAUGAAGGUCUUCGGAUCGUAAAACUCUGUUAUUAGGGAAGAACAUAUGUGUAAGUAACUG